rnacentral:rRNA from 1 species
UACGGAGGAUGCAAGCGUUAUCCGGAAUGAUUGGGCGUAAAGCGCGCGCAGGCGGUUCGGUACGUCCGGCGUGAAAGCUCCCGGCUCAACUGGGAGAGGGCGUUGGAUACGGCCGGACUGGAGGGCGGUAGAGGUCGGUGGAAUUCCCGGUGUAGUGGUGAAAUGCGUAGAGAUCGGGAGGAACACCUGUGGCGAAGGCGGCCGACUGGGCCGUCCCUGACGCUGAGGCGCGAAAGCGUGGGGAGCGAACCGG